UUAUGGCCAUAUCACGUUGUAACACCGGUUCCCGUACGAUCACCGGAGUUAAGUCGAGUUUGGUCAGUACCUAUAAAGGUGACCGCUUGGGAAUUUCAAAUGCUGUAAG